ACUAUAUGGACCGGAAGAGUCCUUGAGCCAAAAUAGCUCGGCGGGUACUUCCGGGACGGGAGACCUGGGUUCCGGGAGGGUGCUGAAAGGAAAGGGAGAGGCGGCGGCGGCGGCAGCUGGAGGAUGAAGAAGGAGCAUGUCCUGCACUGUCAGUUCUCCGCGUGGUAUCCAGUGUUCCGAAGCCUUACGAUCAAGAGCGUCAUUCUUCCACUUCCGCAGAAUGUGAAGGAUUAUUUACUUGAUGAUGGAACUCUGGUGGUUUCAGGAAGGGAAGAUCCACCAACACAUUCUCAACCAGACAGUGAUGAUGAGGCAGAAGAAAUACAGUGGUCGGAUGACGAGAACACGGCUACGCUUACGGCACCGGAAUUUCCCGAGUUUACCACGAAAGUCCAAGAAGCUAUCAAUUCCCUGGGGGGCAGUGUAUUUCCUAAGCUUAACUGGAGUGCCCCAAGGGAUGCAUACUGGAUAGCAAUGAACAGUUCUCUGAAAUGUAAAACCCUCAGCGACAUCUUUCUGUUGUUCAAGAGUUCUGACUUCAUCACUCGUGAUUUCACUCAGCCAUUUAUUCAUUGUACUGAUGAUUCUCCAGAUCCUUGUAUAGAAUAUGAGCUUGUUCUUCGAAAAUGGUGUGAAUUAAUUCCUGGGGCUGAGUUCCGAUGUUUUGUCAAGGAAAAUAAACUUAUUGGUAUUUCUCAAAGGGACUAUACACAGUACUAUGAUCAUAUUUCUAAACAAAAGGAAGAGAUUUGCAGAUGCAUACAAGACUUUUUCAAGAAACACAUACAGUACAAAUUCUUGGAUGAAGACUUUGUGUUCGAUAUAUAUAGAGACAGUAGGGGGAAGGUGUGGCUGAUUGAUUUCAACCCGUUUGGUGAAGUAACUGAUUCACUGCUGUUUACUUGGGAAGAGCUGAUAUCUGGAAGAAACUUAAAAGGUGAUUUUAGUGAAGGAGACACUCUGGAGCAGGUAAGAGGUUAAAAAAGGAUUACAGGAAACCUUGUAAUCCAUUAAAUAAUUGCUCCUUUGUUCUUUAGGCAUCAACACAGAUUUACUAAUAGGUACUCAGUCAUGGAGGUGACCAAAAAGGGUGUGUACCUGAUUCACCUGGAAGAAUCUUGACCCUGGGUCAGUUCUAUGUUGGCUCUGAUCCUAGCUCCAGGCUUCUGACCCCUGAGAGAGGAAAACUGCAGGUGCCCAGCCUGUGGUCUUGUCAUAGUCAUAGUCAUGACCCCAUCAGGGGGACCUGACUGCAGUGUUUCCCUCACCAGCUUUCUCUUACACCCACGGUGACCUUCCACACCCCUGUGGAACCCUUCAGACCGCCCACCAGCCUCCCUUUCUGUCCCUCAGCAGAUGAUUCCACAUCCUCCUUCAUAGGAAGAGAAGCCACUGGUGCGAACUGACUUCGUGUAAUUGUCCUCAGACCUCUGAGCGUCCCUCUGUCCCUCCUCCUCAGUCUAACAGUUCCACCUGCUCAGCUGUUCCUUACCGUCUCUCAUAAUACCCGUGCUGCCACUCACUCCGUCAUGUUUCCCGUUCUCUUCUUGUCCACCCGCCCUGUCUGUGUUCAGGUAUCUUCUGUCUAAAGAGACAAACCUCCUUCAACCUUAUGUCUUCAGCCAGUAAUUCUGUCUCCUCAUCUUCGCAGCCAAACUUUCUUUGAACAACACCUUUCUGUUGCCCUUUUCUGCUUAUGAAAGUAAUACACGCCUGCUUUUGAAGAGUGUUCUGAAGUACCCACAGUCCUACCAUGUUGAGAACCACGGUUUAUAUUUUCUAUAUCAUAUUUGGUACACAUAACAUGCCUGUAUACAUACACAUAAACUUGUUAAAAUAAAUGAUUUUACUACAUAUGCAUUAUCUUUGUGUUUUUUAGUGUAUUUUAAAAAGCAGUUUUAUUUUUACACAGUCAUUUAAAAAACCAGGGAAUUAGAAUGAGGCAAGACUUGAAAUCCUACCACCUGGAAAUUGCCAUUCUUACCCUGCAGUUUAUAUUGUCCAGGCGUGGUUCUAUAAUCAUAUGUACAAGUAUUUUCCUACUGGCUUCCCUCAUGCUAGCAGGUGACCUGUGGUUUUGUAACUGCUCACAGCCGGUCUCCUCACUUGGCCUCUCCUUCCUGCUGCCUCUCUACCUGUGCACCCCUCCACCCGCGCGGUUGGCUUCCGCCCCUGCCGCUCCACAGAACCUGCUCUUGGCAGGGGCUCUACCGGCCGGCUGAGAGGGCCAGGGAACGAUGCACGGCAACAUUUGAAUGUGUUACCCUCUUCCGUGUUUUCACCACACAUUUUCCCCUGGUUUCCAUGAUACAUGCUCUCCUGCUGGGUUUCUUCCUGCUUUUCUGGCUGCUGCCUUGCUUUUAGUGUGAGGAUCUUUUGUCUUAGCUCUGAAAUACUUCUUUUCAUCAUUACUCUGUCUGGGCCCUUUCUGGCCCUGUUUUUCUAGAUCUAGCUCAGAUGGCUAUUUCCCUGUCAAGGCUCUCGCCCUAUUGUGUUGUGCUUGCCCCAGUUGCGGGUAAAGUGGGAGUAUCUCUCAUGUUCUCCAGAUUAGUGUGGCUUAGCACAAUUCGGGCACAGUUGAUUUUUGUUAAAUUAAUGGCUGAAAGAAUUGUCUUCGUGCUGGCAUCUUAGAGUUGGGGGCCAUUAAAUCUGAAUGUCAAGGAAAGAGAGUGUAAAUUAUUCAGCACAGUGUUAUUUUUAAAUAUGAGGGACACAGUGGAUAGAAACAGUUUGUACAAAAUUCACUCUAUGAUCCAAAUCCUUUCUUUCUUUUUAAACAACAUUAUAUUGGAGGUCAGGGGCUGACAGGGAAAGAGGAGCAGGCUCCUGCCUUUUCCCCAGAGUCGUGUCCUGCCUGUCUCACCGUCCUUACUCCCCUCCACGGAGACCUGGCUUUUCUUCUCAUUCUCACAGCUACAAAGCCCUGCCUCAGGAUCUUUGUCCUGGUUGUGCCCACUGCUUUCCAAGCUGUGCCCGGUCUCUGCCUGAGUUCCCAGACCUCCCAGGGCUGCUUUCAUCGUACUUUUCAGUCCACAUGUUCUGUCCUCAGCAAGGUAUUACCUGACCACCCCUGUGAAGUGGCCUCUUAUCAUAGCACCCUGUUGUUGUGUUUUUAGAACACCUCUCACUAUCUGAAAUGAUCUUGCUGUUGUAUUUAUUUGCUUAUUUAUUGACUGUCUGCCAGACUGGUUUACCAGUUAUCUCCUACACCUAGGACAAGGUCAGCGCAAAGUGGGUGUUUCCUAAGUAUUUGUCAGAUGACUGGUCUGUCAUAAGAUAUGGCCUGCUUUCUAGGGCUCUACGGUCCUGUUCCACUCAAGCUCCUGGCCUGUCUCCAUCUGCUGGACACCAUCCAUCCCUCACCUAGAUACCUGCCACCCAUGAAGUCCAAACCCAAGGCCUUCUGUCUCUGAAAUCCUUUUUGGCACAAGGCAACAUGAUUCUCCAGCUUUCCGUUGCACAAACAGUGAAGUGACAGUUCAACCCAGUCCCUA